ACCUACGGGGCGCAGCAGUGGGGAAUAUUGCACAAUGGGGGAAACCCUGAUGCAGCGACGCCGCGUGAGUGAAGAAGUAUUUCGGGUUGUAAACUUCUUUUCUGGGGGACGAACAAAUGACGGUACCCCAGGAAUAAGCCACGGCUAACUACGUACCAGCAGCCGCGGUAAUACGUAGGUGGCAAGCGUUAUCCGGAUUUAUUGGGUGUAAAGGGCGUGUAGGCGGGGAUGCAAGUCAGAUGUGAAAACUAUGGGCUCAACCCAUAGCCUGCAUUUGAAACUGUAUUUCUUGAGUGCUGGAGAGG
rnacentral:rRNA from 1 species